rnacentral:snRNA from 1 species
AGCUUUGCACAGUGUCAGUAUCAUAGCCAAUUAGGUUUAUCUGAGGCUUGAUUACUGCUAAUUGAAAAACUUUUUUUUUUGGGGGG